AUACGAAGGGUGCAAGCGUUAUUCGGAAUUACUUUUCGUAAAUCGUGCGUAGGUGGUCGUUUAAGUCCGUUGUGAAAGCCCUGGGCUCAACCUGGGAACUGCAGUGGAUACUGGACGACUAGAGUGUGGUAGAGGGUAGCGGAAUUCCUGGUGUAGCAGUGAAAUGCGUAGAGAUCAGGAGGAACAUCCAUGGCGAAGGCAGCUACCUGGACCAACACUGACACUGAGGCACGAAAGCGUGGGGAGCAAACAGGAUUAGAUACCCUGGUAGUCCACGCCCUAAACGAUGCGAACUGGAUGUUGGGUGGAAUUUGGCACGCAGUAUCGAAGCUAACGCGUUAAGUUCGCCGCCUGGGGAGUACGGUCGCAAGACUGAA
rnacentral:rRNA from 1 species